UCUCAAGAAAUAUUUCUGCUAAAUAUAUUGGGAAAAUUGCUCCAGUGAUCUCUCAUAAAGUAAUUAUAAUUCAUCACCUUUGUAGGAUUAGCAAGGUUCAAGCCUGGUAUGUUCUUUCUGAUUUUGGUUUUCUCUGAAAAAGACAUGGUCACAAAUUAAAAAUACACAACACUUGAACAGUGCAAAAACGAAAGGGGAGCAAGGGCUUUAAUUUCAUAAGCCUCUGUCUAAGAUAGGAGUUUAAAGUAAUAAAACAACUGUAGCCCUCAUUAUUGAAACUUAGCAGAAUAAAAUGAACCCAGGAAGUUUUGUAUGUUCAUAACUUCAUUCCUGGUGAUGAAAAGGCAGGCACCAGAGCAGGUACACUUUUUCCCUAGAGGCAUUUUGCUGCCUUUGGAGUAGGUAUCGCCAGUGGUUUGCUCGUUAUGGUUUCCAUGUCUCUGCUGGCAACAGGAACAGUGCUGCUAGAAUCCUUUGGAAUAGCCCUGUUAAAGAGCCUGGUGGUGAACCAUAAUUCAGUAAUUCUCCUGCAGCUCUGCUCCCAGCCCUCCAUGAUGAAGACUCCAAACACAUGCAGAGGGAAAGACACAAUGGUUACAGUGGAGAGCUCUGGGCUGGUGCUUUAUUAGUUACUGCCUCUAAAGAAACACACUCAGCAGCAUGAAGCACUGCAAAUGUGUGAAACAGAGUUCAGGAAAAGCCCUCAUUCUUAUUUUGAGUACUAGCUCAUGGGGAAAUUGUGCAUUCAUCAGCUGUUGAAGCUCCAUGCCCAUGUACUGUCACUAUUUAUGUCUGUGCUGAGAACAAAAAAGCAGCAGUUUUUUUCCCAGUUAAGUACAUUGUACAAUAAAAACAUUCAGCUUUCCCCGGGAAAGGUGCACAAAGCUUGCCACAUGCAAUGAGAAGAAGCUUCCAAAUAGGGAACAAAGAUUUUGCAAUGGUAUUCCAUCCUUAUACUUCAGAAACCGAGAAAAUUUCAUCGAGUAAAAUGCUUUUCUGCAGCCCUAUUCCUUUUGUGUAAAUCUGGAUACAGUUUUGGGUUUUCAGAGGCAUUUAACUUCCCACCUGGGUAUAAAGUUCUUUUCAGGUGUCCUUUCGUGUACUAACCCAUAAAACUAUUUUUGGCUGAAGGUUUCAGGAUAUACUAAGGGGGGGAAAAAGCAAAAAGUUAUUAAAAUUACAAUGUCUUUUUUUUUUUCUACUCCUGCCUAACCUAAAUAUAUAAACAGGUACAAAAGACUUGAUCAGACAACCCUAGCCAAGUCUGUGACUACAAUGACAUUUCAAACCAGUACUGAAAUUGGCAAUAAAUCCUUGUCUACAAACUGCUUAAUGUAUGGUAGAGGAGAAGGUGGACAGUUGUUUUAACUGGGAAGCUCUUUAGAAUGUGGAAUGGAUCAACUACAGUCAGUUCCACUAGAAAAUCAAAUUAUUAUUUAAGGAAGAGUGAACAGGAAAGCAGAAGAGAAUACUGCAUGAAUAACAGAAAGAGUUUACAAUUAUGUGAAAAAAGUUGAAAUUCAAUCUCGUAGAAAAGAAAGAGACAUAAAACCUUGAGUGUCAAAUAGUAAGAAAAUUGAAACAUUUUCUGUUUCCAUGCCAGAACUGACACUGUCACGAUGAACAAGAAAGAGAAUGAAUGUCAGAUGUCAAAGGGUUCCGAGAUGACCAGACAUUCUGUCUGCUGUGACUUGAGUCUGAGGGUACAGUUUACCACACAGUUUAAUUUGAGGUAAGAAAUUGACCUUUUGCCCACAGAGUUGUUGAUUAGUUUUAGAGAUUUUCUACAACAAACAUACUCUAUGGGUUGAUGAGGAGCUGGAGACAGACAGACUAUAUUCCAUACUGAAAAGGACCUCAAGUAAACUUUUUGUGGUGAUACAAUCUCCUAAAUGGCCACACAGUUAGGAAUCCUGAUUUUUGAAAAUAUACAUAAUAUAAAACUUUUUAAGGAUAAUGACCAUGUCUGUGCCAAUCUGAGAGGUGAAGUUAUUGCCUUCAUUCUCAGAAUCAACUACUGGCACAUUUAUUUUUGGCCUCUCCACAAACUGAUAAAAAAAGUGUGAGGUACAUCUGAAAAGAGAUGGGGUUUUUGUACGUAUUCUGUUACAAAUACUGCACCACCAGUUGAGUAAAUUUUUGGUUGUGGUUAACAGGCAAUUCUGUUCAAAGGGUCAUCAUGACAGGGAUGGAAAGAUACACCAAGGUGGAUUAUUGCUUUGCAGGGUAAUACACACUAUGGGUGGGCUUCCUGAGAACUGUUUCAUCUCAACAUCAGUGUAUUUCGAAGUUCAUAGUAAACUUCAAAUCCUAGAAAUAAAUAUUAGUAGACAAAAGGAAAAAGUAGUGCAAGUAGAGUAUUAUGCUAAUAGUGCAGAAUUCUUUCCUAUAAUAUAUUUUUUAGCGUUAGGGAUGGGGGUGCUUCAACCUACUUAAAUGUUUCUAAGCCUGGGGCUUCUACUGCUUGCCCUGGGAGAUUGUUCUAGAGUCUAUUAGAGUUCACCAUUAGAAAGUUUUUCCUGAAAAUGAAUUUAAAUAAUCCUUUUUAUAAUUUUUAUCUCAUUAGUCCCAGUUAGACCCUUUUGAGCCACUCUAAAUAGUUCCUCUAACCAUGAUUUAUAUCCUUUGAAUAUUUUUAGAUAGUUAUCAAGUUCAUUGCCUUUGGUAAUUUACUAGAGAAGCUGUGAAUCCCUCCUCAUCCCAAUUCAUUCCUUGAGUUUUGUGUUUCUUACCUUUUCAUGAAAUGUCUUUAAUAUACAAAUUAAAUCCCCUAGUAUUUCCUUAAAUGAGUCACUGUCAGUUCACUCUGUUAAGGUGUUCUGUGUUGCUGAUGUCACUGCAUAAGUUGUCAAAGUUUAAACAAUAAAUUUAAAUUGAAACUUGAUUUUUAAAAAAUCUUUUUUGUAAUCCAUGGAUAAGUUCUCAUAUGAUAUUAAUUUGGCAGUGUCUUUUAAAUGGGUAUGAUUUAACAAAGCCAACCAAUAAACACUACAGACAAGCAAACAGUAAUACAAAGUAUAAUUUGUUAAAAAUUAGGUUGCUGUCAUUAUUGUAAAAACAGACUGUCAUUCAUGGGCCCAUGGUUUUAAGGGUCCCUACACUAAACAGCAGCUAUUAACUAGUACUUUCACUUAAAGACAGAUAAUACUGCUUCUCCUCAAAUGUCAACAGAAUGCACCUGCUUUCUAAAACAAAUGCUCAAGAUUUCUAGAUAGGCACUAACUGGUACAAAGAAAUAGAAUUUUGCCAGCUCUUCUGAUAAUUGCCAUGCUGAUCCUUAUAUUGCAAAUUUAUGAUCCAUUUCUGAUCUCUGGCUGGCAUGAUGACCAUGCAGUAUAUUUUCAAUCAUUUCCCAAGCAAGCCUGUGUUUGCUGGCUCAGAAGCCACACAGGCAAACAGAGAAGAUGUACAAAGGCAGCUUUGGUCUUUUCAUUGAUGUGUUUUCUUCACCUGCUCCUGCUUCCUGUACCUGAACUCCAAACCAGAACUGGAAUACUUGUGCUGGAAGAACCACUGCAUCACUUAAAACCCAAGGGAAAUAGAAUUUGAUUUCUUCUUCAUUUGCGCUGUUUGCAAGGAUUGGAGUGAAGGGGAGAGCAGGAACACUGAGGGUUCCAGGGGUGACUUUAGGGAGUUCUCUGCUUCCCUCAGCACAUCUAUGUCCCUAGUGGGUGUAAUUUGUGCAAACCAUAUUGUAGGAAAUUAAUUGCCAGGAGUGGGUUUAGGUCACAUGAGCAAAUAAUUACUUCCUUGGCAUUGGCUGUUUGCUGUCACUGCUCUGCCCACCUUCCCAAAAUGAGCCAUGGCAUGAGGAGUACUCAAAGUCUGAUGGACAGGAGGGAAGAUGAAUGAGUCUUGGAAGGUCAGGUUGAAACACAAAAGAGAGGAAAAAGAAGACGAAUUCCUGAGCAAGGAGAUGUAAAACAUGACUUGUGAUGAGCAACAGGGCAGGAAUCAGAUACUCCCCCUGAAUAUUGCUGCAGUUUGGUGAAAGGGGUUGUUCUAGUUAGAUUUAACUAUACAGUUAUUAAACAUUUAGAUAUUACUGAGGGAGUAGGAUUUUGAAGAGCUGAGAAAUUAUCAUGUUGAAUGUAACAGCUGUGCUCUAAUUGGCUGGCAUAAUUCUAUUUCAUGUGUCAUCAUCUCUUGACAGUAAAAAUGUUAUUUCAUCUGCCUGCAAAAAUGUACAAUUUUUCCCACACAGUUCGUAAUUUGCCAGAUUGCUUCUGUGUUAGUGCAUUGGUUCUUGUUAAGGAGCAGUAACUGCAGUUGGCAGCAUGGAUUUUGUAGCUUGGGAUCGCUUCCUAGCUGUCCAAAUUCUGUGUAGUUGAGGCCACUUCUAUGGAUAAUGAAAACUAUACCAGAGAAGGGAUUAAAUAAACAUAUGCUGUAUGGUUGUACAUACAAUGGUUGUACUCCGUAAAUGUGUCUCAAACCAACAGACUGUUCAGCCCAGGAAAAAUGCUCUUACAUGAAAUAUCUUGUAGUUUAUGUGAAACAACCAUAAACCGUAUCUUGAAAUGUCUUGUUGCAGAUGUUAAAUGCAUAUCUGAAAGCAUGAAUCUACACAAUUUAUGCAGUACAAUGAAUUAAAUGACUAUAUGCAAAUGAAAAUAUUAAUAUGAAAUGAUUUUUUUUAAACAUAUAUGAAUCAGCUCUUUAAAAAAAAAGAAAACCCAACCCUUUCUUAAUGAAAAUGUACGGUAAACUUUGACACACAGUAUAGUACACAAACCCUAACUUUACACAGAGAAAGAAGUUGUACAAAAGCUCCUCCAUGGCAUAGUGGCGUACUUCAUAAAAGCCAUGUCAAUUUUCACAGUCAUUUAUGAAUUCAAAAUUUUAGUAUCCAUAUGUUUUCCACAGGACUGAUUAAAUUCAUAUUCCAAAUAGGUCUGUUAUUUUAAAAUUUGUUCUGUACAUCCAUACAUGUAUAAAACCAAAGUCAUUUUUGUGAUCACUACAGCACUUUCUGUG
ensembl:lncRNA